AGCUUACACACGGUGGUGAUGUACACAAUUCCAUUGUCACAGAGUGGGACAAAAUCUGUCAUGCCUCGAUUUUUACACCUGAAAAUCUCUAAAUACUAAUCUCAAAUACAACCGACUUAUGUUUCAUCUAUGUAUUCCAGACUCUGUUGAUCUAAGGACAAAGAGGAAGGCGUUCGACAUUGUGAUGGCAGUAAGGAGACUUGAGGAGGAGAAGAGGAUUCUUAUUGCAGAGAUGAACAAGCAUUGGAAGUCUCUUUGCUCCCGUGCAGACACCCUGAAGCAGAUGUCAUCCAAGCUUUCUAAUGUGACAUCAGGUGAGACUUGGGGCCUGCUUCAAGAUGGUAUCCGAGGUCUACAAAGCUUGACGAUGAAGAACAAGCGAGCAAGCAACAGCCUGGCAAAGCAUGCAAAGAAAUAUUAUGUUCAAGUUCUGACUGAAACAGAAAUUAACUUUGAUAGUGAUUCUGAGGAAUACCAUACCAGUAGUGACUCUGAGCAAGAUUAAACAUGGCCAGAGUCCUUUUUUAUGCUGUUGUGUGCUGGGGAGGCAGCAUUAAAGAAGAGGGCCGCUGGGACAGGUUGUUAAGGAAAGCUGGCUCUGUGUUUGGCAUGGAGCUGGAGUUAAUUAUUUAACAAACUGAGGAUAAUUUGCAGUAGCAGUCUUCUGUCAUGCUCAACAUUGAGGAGGUCCUUUGUCCCCAGGGCAUACCAGCAACUCAAUGUCACAGAAAAGGUUAGGGGAGAAAUUGACUUUUCAGCAUGAGUCUCACCCUGCGCCAACCAUUACAUCGCUUUGUCUAUUGUCUAGUAUCCACUAUCCAUUUGACUGUCUUACAGGCUACAUUAGCCCCUCUACACAUUCUGAACUGUGGUUUCAACAUUUACCCCUGUUGGCUUGUAUAAUCUUUUUUUCUUUUUUUAUAUAUAUUUAAGUUUCUGUUUUUUUCUAUCUAUUUUUAACUUCUUUGUAUUGUUUUUUUGUUAAGCAAUACUAUUAUGCUCAGACUCUUUUUUUCCAUAGUCAUAUUAAACAUGCACAGCUUUGCACUGAUUAAAUCCCUGCACUGUUUACUUUUUGCACUACCACCACUGCAAAUCACUCUAUAGUUGCCCAUCAUGUAUCACAGGGUCAGUCCCUACCAGGCCUUUGUAAUCACUUGACAUGCUCUUCACUUUUUUUACAUUUGUGAUUUUUUUGUUAUGUGUCUGAGUUGUGUGUUGUUUUUGUGGUUGUAUAAGCUAAUAAAUGCCUAAAAUGUGGUGUGUCGUCUUAAGUAGCCUA
ensembl:lncRNA